UACGUAGGAUGCAAGCGUUGUCCGGAAUUAUUGGGCGUAAAGAGCGAGCAGGCGGUUUGGAAAGUUGGACGUGAAAUUUUAGGGCUUAACCCUAAAGGGUCGUCCAAAACUCCCAGACUAGAGUGCAGGAGAGGAAAGCGGAAUUCCCGGUGUAGUGGUGAAAUGCGUAGAUAUCAGGAGGAACACCGGUGGCGAAGGCGGGUCUCUGGGCCGAUACUGACGCUGAGGAGCGAAAGCGUGGGGAGCGAACAGG
rnacentral:rRNA from 1 species